GUGUAUCUGGCAGCGGUUCUGUUGCAGGAAGUUCUGGGGAGGUUUCGGGGGGUGUCACUCGACAUGGCAAUGCCGGUGCUAUUGCUGCGGUGGGCG
rnacentral:tRNA from 1 species